GUGUCAGCAGCCGCGGUAAUACGAGGGGUGCAAGCGUUGCUCGGAAUUAUUGGGCGUAAAGGGUAGGUAGGUGGUCUCAUUUGUCUGGGGUGAAAGCCUUGAGCUUAACUCAAGAAGUGCCCUAGAAACGGUGAGACUGGAGUCUUGGAGAGGGUCGUGGAAUUCCCAGUGUAGCGGUGAAAUGCGUAGAGAUUGGGAGGAACACCAGCGGCGAAGGCGGCGACCUGGACAAGCACUGACACUCAACUACGAAAGCGUGGGUAGCAAACAGGAUUAGAUACCCUGGUAGUCCACGCUGUAAACGAUGGGUACUAGGUUUGGUGGGUCUUGACCCCCGCCGAACCGGAGCUAACGCGAUAAGUACCCCGCCUGGGAAGUACGGUCGCAAGACUAAA
rnacentral:rRNA from 1 species